GACUGUACAAAGGUAGCAUAAUAAUUUGGUUUUUAAUUGGGAUCUGGUAUGAAUGAUUUGACGAAAAAUAUACUUUCUUUAUUUUAUAUAAAAAAUUUUAUUUUUAAUUUAAAAAGAUUAAAUUUAAUUAUAAGACGAUAAGACCCUAUAGAGCUUUAUUUAUUUAAUUAUAUAUAUAUUUAGUUUAUUUAUGUCUAUAUAAUUAAGUGACUUUUGUUGGGGUGACAGAAAAAAAAUUAUAACUUUUUCUAUUUUUUACAUUUAUAUAUGUUUUUGGUUGAUCCUUUAAUAUGGAUAAUAAGAUAUAGUUACCUUAGGGAUAACAGCGUUAUUGUCUUGGAGAGUUCAUAUCUAUAAGACAGUUUGCGACCUCGAUGUUGGAUUAAAAUUAGUUUUGGGGGUAGGUUUUCAAUAACUAGGUCUGUUCGACCUUUAAAUUUUUACA
rnacentral:rRNA from 1 species